UACGAAGGGGGCUAGCGUUGCUCGGAAUGACUGGGCGUAAAGGGCGCGUAGGCGGCUUGCACAGUCAGGCGUGAAAUUCCUGGGCUCAACCUGGGGACUGCGCUUGAGACGUGUGGGCUUGAGUGGGGAAGAGGGUCGUGGAAUUCCCAGUGUAGAGGUGAAACUCGUAGAUAUUGGGAAGAACACUGGUGGCGAAGGCGGCGACCUGGUCCUUGACUGACGCUGAGGCGCGAAAGCGUGGGGAGCAAACAGG
rnacentral:rRNA from 1 species